rnacentral:lncRNA from 1 species
GCCUGGGCAGGAAGCUGGGGUGAGCCAGGAGCACCUGUGAUAAGGAGACAAGAGGGGGAAACAAAGAAAAUGAAAAUCCAACAAGGAAGGGCAUGUCGUAGAGAGCAGGAGCCAACCCGAAGAGCGUGCAGUGGCGAACAGAAUAGGUAACAGGAUUGGCGGACAGCCCGCAACGUACAGCAAAUACUGAUGACGGAUAAAUGGGGGAGAAGGGACACCCCCUGAAGAACUUCACACAGCUGUUCUUCCUGCAGGAGCAGAGCACAGCCUUCCACUGAGUAUAAAGCCAGUGACACUCAUCCAAGGGACGGAAAGGGAACCGGCUCAACCAGGGAGUGGAAAGGUGUGGCACGGCCAGAGGUGGGCCAGCACCCCAGUGGUGGCAAUGUGGUGCAGUGACACAGAUCCCUGCCCUGGGACUCUGCCCUCAGCCUGUCUCUGCCCUCCAAGUGACUCCUGGAACUGUGGUGCCCCUGUGGCAUCACCCUCCUGGCCAGGAGAUACCAACAGAAGACUUGCCAUGCAGCUUCCACGCCAAAAUGCAGGCAGUGGCCCCUCAGGACAGGGCGAGCACCAG